rnacentral:misc_RNA from 1 species
GAUGAAGAACGCAGCAAAAUGCGAUAAGUAAUGUGAAUUGCAGAAUUCAGUGAAUCAUCGAAUCUUUGAAUGCACAUUGCGCCCGCCAGUAUUCUGGCGGGCAUGCCUGUUCGAGCGUCAUUUCAACCCUCAAGCACAGCUUGGUGUUGGGACUCGCGUUAAUUCGCGUUCCUCAAAUUGAUUGGCGGUCACGUCGAGCUUCCAUAGCGUAGUAGUAAAACCCUCGUUACUGGUAAUCGUCGCGGCCACGCCGUUAAACCCCAACUUCUGAAUGUUGACCUCGGAUCAGGUAGGAAUACCCGCUGAACUUAAGCAUAUCAAUAAGCGGAGGA